rnacentral:lncRNA from 1 species
CCCCGAUCAACCUCCCAAACCCCUCUCUAUCUCUAUCUCCCCCAACUCUUUAGAGUCAAGGAACAACCGAUUGCAACCUCUAAAACAAGCUAUGUGAUCUUGUUGAAGGCCAUCAAUUCUCCAAAUUUAGCUGGAAUUACGUCAUUUUUUGGCAAAUUUCGAGCUCGAAAUCUGGUGAGUUGGUUCUUGGAUGGGGAGAUGGCUACUGCAAAGAAGCCAAGAAGAAGAUGCAGUUUCAGUGAAUAGGUUGGAUCUUUGUAAUGAAAAAGAGAACCAACAAAAGAUGAGGAAGAGGGUGUUAGACCUUCAUCAUUUGUUCUUUGGGGGAUCAAAUGAAGAAAAGUAUUAAUUGGGUCUUGAUAGGGUCUCUGAUACUGAGAUGUUUUAUCUGGUUUCCAUGUAUUUUUCAUUUCCUAAUGGGUUUGGAAUACCUAGUACGUUUCAGAACCAGGAAACCUUUGUGGCUCUCUGAUGCUCCUAACUCAUCGGCCGAUUACUGUUACAGAACUUUCAUAGCAAGGUUAACUGGUGCCCAUGGCUAGGAUGGCUUUGUUUUCCCUCUCUCUCCUCAAUCAUGUUUCUUCCCAAAAACUCCACCCUAAUUGCCUGAGAAUUAUACCUCCCCCUCACUUACUUGCCAAAAAAUUGCACCUCCCCCAGCAUCUACUUACUAAAAAACUGUUGUGCUCUGAUAGCACUUGUUGUGUGCGCGGAAGCUUUAAACCCGAUGGGUUAAUAUUUGGCAAAUAAAGUGUGAGAAAUAAAACAUGAAACACAUAUAACAAGGACACAAAGAUUUACGUAGUUCAGCCUAGAGGGUUAUAUCUAUGAGCACGGCAAACAGAAAUCCACAAGAUUCUUAUUUUUAAAAUUUUACUUUAUGAAGGUACUUUAAAAGGAAAAAAGAUAAAAAUGAUCAAAUUGCACAUGUUCGCAACUAUUAUGAAUGGCAUUUUUGUAAUUUAGUCACACUUAAAGUUGUCUGAGCCAAAUAACAAAAUUAAUAUUUGUUGCCAAGGGUGAGUUUUACGUUGUUUACUCUUAAACAACUAGAGGUAUUCUUAAUAUUCUUCAAUUUCAUGUUUGUUACCUUAAAAGUAUUUUUAUCGUGUAUCACAUCACUUAAGUAGAGUCAAGCUAUCAAAACACCCCUUCUUGUUUAAGGCUUCUAAUCCUGAAUAGGUAAAAUUUGAUUGAUUUUUACCAUAGUUUUUAAUGAAAUACCUAAGUGAAAUGAAUUUAAAAAGUGGCAAUCCUAAUGUUAAACAAGGUAAUUUGACCAUCUCAAUAAUUUUGUAAGGCAAUUUCACCAUUAAUUAAUAUUCUCAGUAAAAUAAAUAUGAUUUAAAACAAGUCUAGAAUAACUUCUCUUUUGUUAAUAUAAAAUGCAGAAGGGAUGCUUACCCAAACUCCCCACCCAAUUCUAAACUUACCAAAAAGGUAACUGUUUUUAUAAGGCCCCAACAACAUAUAAGUUACAUGUGACAUACUUCUUAGAUGUUCAAUCUGAAUCCAACAGCUACGAUUGUUCAUAUCCCAAUGUCAUGCCAAACACUGUUUUAUUUUUUAUUUUUUUCUACAAAAUAUUUUUUGGUGAAAUUUUGGGCGUCCCAUCAUAAAAUUAGAGCGAAGUAUCCCUUCUGCAUUUUAGUCCAUUCUCAACAAAGCCCCUACAUGGCUCUUUAAAUUAAUCUGUGGUAAAAUAAUUUGUGAUGUAUAGUGAUCACAUUAAAAGCAAAAAACCGCAUUCUCUAUUCUUUCUUCAAAAAAAACUACACAGCCUCUCUCACUUUGUACUCUCUUCUGGCUUCAUUUAGGAAUUGCCUUGGAGUGAUAAUCCAUGACUUCUCUCUUUUUUAAUGGAAAGAUGAUGAAGAAAUUGAACAGAGUGAACAUCAAAUUGCUACAGUUCAUCUUCUUUUGGUAGUCUUUCCAAGAUGAGAAUACUUUGUGUAUUAUAGUCUUACUUGGAAAGAUCUAUCUACUUUUAUUCUAACAUAUAUGUGUAUCUACUAUAUUUUGUAACUCAUAUACUUGAUUAUUGGCUUAUUUUUCCUUAAGUUUAUAGUACAAGUAGUUUGGCACACAAAAAUCUUCAUUUACUCUAUUGGUCCAUUUAAUACUUGGUCUCCCACAAGUUCCAAAAUGCCACACCUAAGUGACCAAUGGGUACAUAGUAUAAUAGAUCUCUUAGAGUGUUUAGUAUUGGGUAAGCUUUUUAUGUUUUCUCUACAGUAUAGAAGUUCUAUCUUCCUCUUUAUCCAACCGUCCAUUCUGAAUGGAGAGCUAAGAUUACUUCAAUCAAAAUAUCACAUCUCUACACUAUUUUAUUUUAAAUUUUUUUUCUAUAAACUAUUUUGACACCAAAUUUUGGACGUCCAUUCCUCUAUUAAACUCACACUAGUGAUAACUAUAAAAAAAAUAUAUAUAUUUUUUCAAUAAAAUAAAAUAACAAAAAUACUUUUGAAAGAUUCAAGGGGUAUUUUGGUUAUUAUAAUUUAUUGAAAAAUUAAGUUUAAUAUUUUUUAUAAGUGUGCCCCAAUGAGAAGAUGAUACGUACCAAAUUUCAUAUUCAUUCAAUUUGUAUAAAAAACAACUAAAAAUAAAAAAGUGAGUGACUCUCUUGAUCAAAAUUGGACAGCCGGAUGGUAGGUGGAGGAUAGGAGGAAACAUAGAAACCUUUCUCUUUAAUAUUUAUCAGGGUUUGAAAAAUCAUUUAAUAUUUAUCAGGGUUUGAAAAAUCAUUUAUCGAAAUCAUUCAAUCCAGAUAAGUAUCGUUCCGAUAUAUCGAUAUCUAGCCGUGUCCCUCAAAAUCGGCCGAUUUGAGGAGAUCCAUACUCCAUAUUUUUUUAACAAUUUUCUUAUAAAUAAUAUCGUGGCGGGCCCAACCAACUCCACUUACAUAACCUUGCGCCAUCACGCUUACCUCAUCAAUGCUCUUCCCCUUAUGUCACGUUCACCUCAUAAGCAUCACUUGCGUCUCGUUGUGGAGUUCACCUUUUUAUGGUCGCUUGCUCUCCUCAAAUCUAUAGAUAUAGGAUUACUUUGUACAUUCCCAUUAAUCAGGGCCAAGUUCGUGCAGAUUUCCAUGCUUAUUACUUCCAUCUCUCUCUACUUACACAAGGGCAAGUUCAUUUACAUGAAUCUAUAAAAUAAAAUAAAAUGUUUUUUAGAUUAAUAAUAUUUGUUUUAUUUUUUUUUAAAAGUAUGUAUAGUUAAGUUUUAAUUACAUAUAAUUACAAAAAAAAUUAUAUAAUUAAUUUAUAAAAAUCAGUAUAAUUAUAUUGAAAUUAUUGUUGUUUAUUUAUCUUAAUAACUUGUUAAACUUAUGUCAGUCUAAUCAUAUAAAUAUGAUUGCACUAAAUUAUCUUAAUAUUUUUACAUUGAAUGAAGAUAAUUGUGUAAAAAUGUUAACUUAUUUACUAUAAUUAUAUUAAAAAUUUUAUAGCUAUAUUGAAAUUUUUAUUGUUAUAAAUACAUUAAAACAUCACAUAACUUAUUGUAUUAAAUUGCUGCAUUAUUAAAAAGUUGCUAUGAAAUUAUUAUAUUUAUAAAUUACACAUAUAUUAACAAAUAGCCUAUUGUUAACUUCUUGUUGUAGAAUAACUUAUUUUAUAAAGCAAUAAAAAUUUAAUAUAAUCUUAAAUUGUAUUAAGUUGUUAUUGUUAUAUACAAUAAUAUAUAACAAGUUGUUUAGACAAUUACGAGGCAUGCAUGAAACGAUUCAAUGAAUUGUCGAGACAAUUCAAUGAGUGGCACCAACACGAUGAAGAAGAAGAACAACAACGACAUGUUUCAUUUUGGUAGCAGGUUGCUUUUGGUAGCAGGUUGCAUUUUAAUUGUUGUAUGUGUUAUUUUAGACCAUAUAUUUAUAUCCACGUUGAUUAUUAUACGCUCCCUUUUUUAAGGGAUAUGAGUGAAUAGUUAACUGACAUCCAGAAAGCAAAACAACUCAAUAUUCACAUAUUUUUACAUAAUAAAGAAAAUCACUUUUUUUUGAAGUUGGUGUCAUUGAAUCUAUUGAGUUUCACCUAAUCUUGAUUCAUGGCUUUCUUCACCUAAAAAGAAAACAUUUUCAUGCCUUUCAAUGUCAUGGAAGAAAGCAAAACAUUAUCUUGAACCAUUGAACUGUGGUGGACAAAAUGAGGUUAGAAAACGAAAAUAUUCUUUUAGAGUAACUAUCAUUCAAGGAUCAGCAAAUUGAAAGGAACUGCCAAAGUCCAUGGAUUGUCCGAAUUCAAUGGUCCCCCCAAGUUUUGACAUUUUGAACUUGGACAAAAGAGACAAUUAAUUAUAAUUAGACAAAAGAAAACGAUGUUUUUUCUUUUGAGGCACUUUUGAAUGACACUUCUGCAAGAUAAUAUUUGACUCUUACUAAAAUGGAUCCAAUUUAAAUUAAAGAUGCGGGCAAAUUUAUCCUCGGGCUCGUUACUUAUUCACUGUAUACUAGUACUAACAGAAAAGAAAUGCCACCAAUGUGCCUAUUCAUCUAGGAAGAAGAUGAGACAGAUAUCUCAAAUUGUUACGUCUAUUCAUAGGUAGAUAUGUCUUCACACCGUUAAUAAUUAUAUUUGAAAAAAUAUCUCCAUAGACCUCAUUUUCAACUUUCAUUUCUCUAUUGACCUAAGGUUGCAAAGCCUAUCUUACUGUAUAGAAAUUCACUCUAAUAUAUCUCUUAACCCGCUAAACAUAUUUUGUUUAUUUUUUACUAAGUUUUUUGACCCAAACAAAUUUAAAACAGAUAUCGUUUCUAAACCGCUCUCUCUUGACAUGAUUCCCUUUCUCUCUCCCCCCGAUCAACCUCCCAAACCCCUCUCUCUCUCUAUCUCCCCCAGCUCUUUAGAGUCAAGGAACAACCGAUUGCAACCUCCAAAACAAGCUAUGUGAUCUUGUUGAAGACCACCAAUUCUCCAAAUUUAGCUGGAAUUACAUCAUUUUCUGGAAAAUUUCGAGCUCGAAAUCUGGUGAGUUGGUUCUUGGAUGGGGAGAUGGCUACUGCAAAGAAGCCAAGAGGAAGAUGCAGUUUCAGAGAAUAGGUUGGAUCUUUGUAAUGAAAAAGAAAACCAACAAAAGAUGAGGAAGAGGGUGUUGGAGCUUCGUCAUUUGUUCUUUGGGGGAUCAGAUGAAGAAUACUAUUAAUUGGGUCUUGAUAGGGUCUCUAAUACUGAGAUGUUUUUUCUGGUUUGCAUGUAUUUUUCAUUUCCUAAUGUGUUGGAAUACAUAGUAGAGUUUUCAGAACCAGGAAACCUUUGUGGCUCUCUGAUGCUCCUAACUCAUCGGCCGAUUAUUGUUACAGAGCUUUUAUAGCAAGGUUAACUGGUG